rnacentral:rRNA from 1 species
AUGGAGGACUGCCUCGACGGCGCCGGCGCCGGCAAUGGCGACGAAGGCAGCAGCAGGUGCGGAGGGGGACUUAAAGGAAGCCAGAGCGCUGGCAUGGAGGAGCAACAACGUCCAGGGAUCGUCGACGACGCCGAGUCCCGCGUGGAGGAGCAACCUCGAACAAACAGGACGCGGAAGAACAAGGUGACACAGGCAAGCGCCGAUCGUUCCAAAUUCUUCCUCGCGCCAAAACCCUAUCCCCCGCUCCACCCAGCGCUCCUCUGGAUCGUCCUCCGUGACAAGACCUACCUCACCUUCCCCCACGGCAAAAUCCACCACUUGGAUCUUGACUACGAUGACAUCGAAUUCCGUGUCUCCGCGGGCAGCAUGCUCUUCCUGGUGUUCUGCGACCGCAGCUGCUGCUUAAUGAACCCUUCCACCGGGGGGGCUACCCCUCAACAGAUCAGCCUGGACAAAGACGACAUGGACCAACGUUACCACAGCUUUGACAGGAUAAGCAAGGUGGUGGUGUCUGAUAAGAUUGUCGCUCUCCUUGCCAUGGACAAGGUCAAGAUCUUUGCUCGCGGGCAGCCACAGGGUUUCGGAACAUGCUCGGCCAAGGUGUGGGAGCCCCCUGGAGAAACCCAUGUCGUUGACAUUGCAAUCUUCAAAGAGAAGCUUUACGUCCUCGCUGCAGAAUAUGGUAAUGGCUGUCUUGAACCACCGGAGCUGCAUGCCUUGGAUACCUGCGACGAGCAGGCCGCUGUCAGCUCCGUCCAAUGUGUAAGCGCCCACCAAGAGAUCACGUCAAAACUGACUCGACUGCCGGCUGCCAACUGGGCAUCUUCUUCUACCUGGUCGCAUCCGGCCAUCAGCUGCUGCUGGUGGAACGGCAGGUCGACGUGGAUCACUGGGACCCCUUUUACGUGA